CUAAUGUUUUCUUUUCUAUAAUUGCAGGAGCCAUUGACACUGGAGAAUGAUACCUACCCUGAAAUAACUCACUUCCUGAGGAAAAAACGCCAUCUCUAGGGACUUUAAAAAGCACUCAUGUUUCCAUCCUCACUGUUGACUCCUGGCUUAAAGGGAUCUCCCGGGGUGAGUGAGGAGGCGGGAUCGGACCCUGGCAGUCUGACGGCAGCACCUGUGUUCCUCUGCACUGGGCCGUGGAUGACAUUACACACCUUGCCACUCCCACGGUCCUGUGUGUUCCAGAUAUUUUAAAAUAAUGGCUAUAAGGCUGAGCACUUCAGGAUAUGCUGUUUUGCUGUGUGCAGAUGGAGGCAGUGGCUGGAGUGAAUGAACGGCAACACUUGCUGGCAACCGGCAGAAGCUGAGAGACAGGGAACAGGCUCUCCUCCAGAGCCUCCAGGAGCCAGGCCUUUGGACACCUUGAAUGUGGGCUUCUGGGAGACCAUGCGUUUCUGUUAUAAGCAGCCCAGUCUCUGGCAGUUUUUACGGCUGCCCCGGAACACUCAUCUAUACCUGUCUGACAAGGUCAAGCUCCAAGGAAGGGAUUCUCUACAUAUCUACAUUGUUUGCAGAUUUUACAAUAAUCAUUUAUUCUUGCAUGGCUGAUCAUUGUUAACCAAUACAAAUAAAAUAAUAAAGAAAUGACCCACAUUUUAUGUUGGGAGUUUGAUCUGCCAUUUAUCAAGUAUGGAAUCUUGAACAAGGGGUUAAACAUCUGAAUGUCU
rnacentral:lncRNA from 1 species